rnacentral:lncRNA from 1 species
UAUUAGUAUUACUAUUAUUAUUAUUAUUAUUAUUAUUAUUAUUAUUAUUAUUAUUAUUAUUACUACUACUACUACUAUUAUAUUUUCCAACUGUUGUACUGGAACAACAAUGACUGUUUAAUUUAACUUUAACAGUUUUUGGCAGUUCUCUGUUAAAACAUUACCAAUGUCAGCUGCUUCUAAUCUAGCUAUUCUUCUCAAAGUGUCUAAUGCUUUUUUGCUUUUGCUUUUUGGUGUGUUUCUUUGCCAAGUACUUUUGCAUUUUUAUAUCGCCAUUUGUUCAGAUUUUUUUGCUUUUUGGUGUGUUUCUUUGCCAAGUACUUUUGCAUUUUUAUAUCGCCAUUUGUUCAGAUUUUUGUGUAUGUAUAUGUAUGUGUGUGUAUAUAUGUGUGUAUAUAUAUAUAUGUGUGUAUAUGUGUGUGUGUGUGUGUGUGUGUAUCUAUAUAUAUAAAAGAGUGAUGACAUCAGGGCAGCGGACAAAACAACAAAACUACAGGCCCCCAACCUCGAAAUUUGACAACACAACCCAUCAUCCAUGGCUCUAGGUUGAUACAACAAAAAGAAAAGAAAAAUAAAGUCCUAAUUAGAGGGAGAGGAAUAAUUGUUUUUAUCCAGUUGCUUCCAGUUACAAGGCUAAGUUCCACCCACUUGGUCUCCUAGCAACCCACUAAGCCCAGGGGACAGGCACAAGAGUUUGGAGAGACCCCUAAGGGCCAUCCAGCCCAACCCUUUCUACUAUGCAGCAGGACACAAUCCAAGCAUUCACAACACAUGGACAACGUAUAAAUACUAUACAAUACUACACAGGGACAUAGACCCCCUCUAUCCUCACCACUUUCACAAUACACAAACAACCAAAUGCAUACUAAACAUACAACAACCAUACAACAGACAUUUAAUACCACUACUACCUCAACAAGUUCUCACCAACACCACCAGACAACGCCACAGCAACGCGUGGCCGGGCAUAGCUAGUGUAUAUAUAUAUGGACACUUUAGCUUUGUUUUUGGUUUUUGGUUUUUUUCUCUCUUUCUCUCUUUUUGAUCCUUUUUUAAUCACAGUUUUCCUACUUUCUAUACAAGCAAAUGUUCUCACUCUUUUGAUGUUAAUUUACUCUAUCUUAUAAGGUAAAACUUCAAUAAAAAUAUACUCAAUAUAAAAAAAACAUGCAAAUAUGAGUAGAUCAAUAGGUAUCGCUCCGAUGGGAAGGUAACGGCGCUCCAUGGAGUCAUGUCGGCCACAUGGCCUUGGACAACGGCAGCUCUUUGGCUUAGAAAUGGAGAUGAGCGUCAACCCCCAGAGUUGGACGUAACUAAUGUCAGGGGAAAACCUUUACCUUAUAACUAAAAUCUUUUGUAAAUUUACUGUCAAAUUAAUUAAAUAUCGUAGAUUCUUUACAAAGGUGAGACUAAAUGUUUUUCCCUCAGAGCUGUUAAGAGGCAGACUGUCUGGAAUCCCCCACUCCCAAAGACUAUGUCCCUGUGGAGGAAAUUAAAUAGAAACAAUAGAAGACAUUUUAUUGCAGUGUUGAUAUUAUUUAGUGCAACAUACUGUGUUUCCCCGAAAAUAAGACAGUGUCUUAUAUUAAUUUUUGCUCCCAAAGAUGCACUAGGUCUUAUUUUUAGGGGAUGUCUUAUUUUUCCAUGAAGAAGAAUUCACAUUUAUUGUUGAACAAAAAAAAUGAACAUUUAUUAUAUACUGUACAGUAGUUGUCAUCACAAACCAGCAUAACCAGACAAACUGUGAAUCCUAUCAAGAAUUUCUUGUUACUAUCAUUACUUCCAUGUACAACAAUCUAUGGUACGUACAUUUACCAAUCCUGCAUGCUCUUGUGUUCUGUUUGGUGGGCAUGCUUCCAAACACAAAUUUUGCUAGGUCUUACUUUCAGGGGAGGCCUUAUAUUUAGCAAUUCAGCAAAACCUCUACUAUGUCUUCUUUUCUGGGAAUGUCUUAUUUUCGGGGAAACAGGGUAGCCAACUUUUAUAUCCGAUCCUGUCCUGCAUGACCAACCUCCCCCGCAGAGGAUUGUUAGAUAUCUUUUAGAGAAUAAGUGCUACAGAGUGAUUCUCAUAGUGGCAAAAUUCCUUGCAGUGGCAGCAAGACUGAAGAAGCAACCAACCUCUGAUAGGGAUAUCACUUGAAACCAUGUAGAUGUAUCUUAUACAGUGAGCUGGGAGUCUAUGGACCAUAAUAAAUGUUGUGUUGUUAUAACUAAAAUGUAAAAUAAAUAGAAAACAGCUCAGGAAUAGUGAGGAGAGGGAGAUAAUCCUGCCCCUUGAUGUCAUUUCACUGUUGGCACUGCUAGCACAGAAGCAGAACAGCCCCAUUGCACCAAGGUAGUUGAUGGGAAUAUUGCGAGAUCUUGAGCUAUUGCCAGGUUUUCCUGUCAAUAGCGCAGGAAAGAGGCAGUUCAGCCACAGGAGGCACACAUCUUGAGACAGGAAUGUCCAACUUCAGUGCUGAUUUGCAUGCCUCGUGCAAUAAAAUCUAUAAUGUGUUUCUUAGAGGUAGCACAACCACUAUCUAUGUUUCAAAAUAUAUUAUGACCUUUGCACAUUAAUUCAUAUUAUGAUCUUAUAAAGAAAAGUAGACUCCGUUUUAAAACAUCAUUUGAUCUCCUCACUGGACAAGUUAGUGUGUCCAUCAUACCGUUGAAGCCAACCCUCAGAUAAAUCAAGGAAGUAAAAUCAAUCCCAGUUUCUAAUCCAAUUUGCAAUAAAGAACCAAAUGAACGUUUAGAAAACUUUUGCCUGUUUCAAAAUUAAAAUCAAAAAUAAACAAACAUGAGAUAAUUAUGGGAAAUAACUUUCAGUGGAAGAUAAUGGGAGCCUCCGAUGGUGUAGUGGGUUAAAGCCUUGCGACUUGAAGGUUGGGUUACUGACCUGAAGGCUGCCAGGUUCGAAUCCCACCCGGGGAGAGCACGGAUGAGCUCCCUCUAUCAGCUCCAGCUCCAUGCGGGGACAUGAGAGAAGCCUCCCACAAGCAUGGUAAAACAUCAAAACAUCCGGGCGUUCCCUGGGCAAUGUCCUUGCAGAUGGCCAAUUCUCUCACUCCAGAAGCAACUCAGGUUGCUCCUGACACGAAAAAAAAGUGGAAGCUUAUUACCCAGCUUUCUCAAUGAGUGUAGCAUUUACAUUUUUUUAAAAAAUAUCAGUGCUUCAACCUCAUUUGUUUUUUGAAAUAAUAAUAAUGAU